CCUACGGGGGGCAGCAGUGAGGAAUAUUGGUCAAUGGGCGCGAGCCUGAACCAGCCAAGUAGCGUGAAGGAUGACUGCCCUACGGGUUGUAAACUUCUUUUCUCAGGGACGAAGCAAGUGACCGUACCUGAGGAAUAAGCCACGGUUAACUACGGGCCAGCAGCCGCGGGAAUACGUAGGUGGCGAGCGUUAUCCGGAUUUACUGGGUGUAAAGGUUGUGUAGGCGGGAAAGCAAGUCAGAUGUGAAAACCAUGGGCUCAACCUGUGACCUGCAUUUGAAACUGUUUUUCUUGAGUACAGGAGAGGUAGGCGGAAUGCAUAGUGUAGCGGUGAAAUGCGUAGAUAUUAGGAAGAACACCAGUGGCGAAGGCAGUCUGCUGGACAGCAACUGACGCUGAGGCGCGAAAGCGUGGGGAGCAAACAGGAUUAGAUACCCCGGUAGUC
rnacentral:rRNA from 1 species